CAGUCGCCGCGGUAAAACGGAGGGGGCUAGCGUUGUUCGGAAUUACUGGGCGUAAAGCGCACGUAGGCGGCUUGGUAAGUUAGAGGUGAAAGCCCAGGGCUCAACACUGGAAUUGCCUUUAAGACUGCCGAGCUAGUAGGUGAGAGAGGUGAGUGGAAUUCCGAGUGUAGAGGUGAAAUUCGUAGAUAUUCGGAAGAACACCAGUGGCGAAGGCGGCUCACUGGCUCAUUCUAGACGCUGAGGUGCGAAAGCGUGGGGAGCAAACAGGAUUAGAUACCCGAGUAGUCCCUGUCUCUUAUAC
rnacentral:rRNA from 1 species